rnacentral:rRNA from 1 species
AGUGAACGCUGGCGGUAGGCCUAACACAUGCAAGUCGAACGGCAGCACAGUAAGAGCUUGCUCUUACGGGUGGCGAGUGGCGGACGGGUGAGGAAUACAUCGGAAUCUACUUUUUCGUGGGGGAUAACGUAGGGAAACUUACGCUAAUACCGCAUACGACCUACGGGUGAAAGCAGGGGAUCUUCGGACCUUGCGCGAUUGAAUGAGCCGAUGUCGGAUUAGCUAGUUGGCGGGGUAAAGGCCCACCAAGGCGACGAUCCGUAGCUGGUCUGAGAGGAUGAUCAGCCACACUGGAACUGAGACACGGUCCAGACUCCUACGGGAGGCAGCAGUGGGGAAUAUUGGACAAUGGGCGCAAGCCUGAUCCAGCCAUACCGCGUGGGUGAAGAAGGCCUUCGGGUUGUAAAGCCCUUUUGUUGGAAAAGAAAAGCAGCAGGUUAAUACCCCGCUGUCCUGACGGUACCCAAAGAAUAAGCACCGGCUAACUUCGUG